rnacentral:rRNA from 1 species
AGUCACUGACAUUAGAUACCCGCGUAGUCCAGGGUGUAAACGCUGCAGACUUGGUGUUGGAGGCCCUUUGGGGGCAUUCAGUGCCGGAGAGAAGUUGUUAAGUCUGCUACUUGGGAGUACGUCCGCAAGGAUGAAACUUAAAGGAAUUGGCGGGGGAGCACCGCAACGGGAGGAGCGUGCGGUUUAAUUGGAUUCAACACCGUAAACUCACCAGGGAAGACUGUUACAUGAAGGCCGAGAUGAAGACUCUGCUAGAUUUUCAG